UCCCAAGAAAUUCUCUCCCUUGUAUUAAUAGUUUUUAACUUCCUAUAAAGAGGUAGUAAUGAAAUUUCAAAUAAAUUUUAAUUGUUAAAUGGUAGUAUUAAAUGAAUUUCUUAUUUUAUGUAAUAACAACACUCUAACUAGUAAUUAAUUGUACAAGUACUAUUCCCUUUGAUGUAAAAACAGAAACCAGAAGAAACAGUAUUGCCUAUGCUGGAAUUAGGCUUCAAUAUCAUGGCAACAGAUAGGUGACUACCCGGUAUCUUUCGGCAUUUAAAUGUCCAUUCUUCAACUCCCUAGGCCAUUAGAUUGACCCCAAGAGGUCCCAGCACAACCAAUCAUAGCUCUUCCCCAUGUCCACAAACACCACAAAGCACACAAAUUUGGCUUGAAUUCACGUGUCGCGUGGGCCCGUUGAUGCCAUGCCAUGCCAUGCCCACCAAAACGAAUAAAUGACGGUCCGCCAGUCCCACUCAUCCAAUCUGAAAGUAGAUACUUGAUGUUUGCUUUUCGACAACAAUGGAGGAAUACAGAAAUCAAUCAUGUCACAGAGCCACAACCAUAGCCAUACCUGUCGAAAGACUCAUCAGACACAAGAGCUUUUAUAUAUAUACACAAUCCGGUGAGAAACACUAUUUUUCUACAAAUGGCAAGAAUAAACUGAGAAAAUAUAGAGGCAUGCUUACCUCUCAUGAAAAAGUAGAAAUGUAGUUGCAACUGUGUGAAAAAGCACAAAGAUUUGUGAAAUCUUUCUUUCUUGCGACUUUUCUCUACAACUUGGCAUAUAUUAUGCCAUCUCUUAUAAUAUAAAUAGAUCCCAAAAAGAACUAAAAGAAACUCCUCAAACUUUCCCAUCCAAGUAGGCGGUCUACAUACGGAUUCUUACCAUUGAAGAUGGGUUGACUCUGCCACCAAAAUCUCUCUUUAAAACCCCUCCUCAACCCUUCAUUUCCUUGGCUCUUCUGAACCUCUACUUUUUUACAAGCUCACAAAGAAACAACAUAAAGAGAUCUCCUCAUUGGCAAUUCCUUCACUCCAGUAAAAGAGAAAAACAAAAUGAUAUAUCCAUCAGCUGGUUUUCUGAUACAAAAUAACAUUCUUUUCAUAAAAGGCUUCAUGAUCUUGUUUCUAAGUUUUCUAGCUAUAAAGCUGAACCUUUGCUUUUCUAGUAUCCCAUCUUCAUUGAAGACAAUUGGUCUCAACAGACAC
rnacentral:lncRNA from 1 species